CCUCAUAGCAGUGUUCUGGAAUCCUAUAUGAGGUACAAACAUUCAGACCCUCAUAGCAGUGUUCUGGAAUACUAUGUGAGGGA
rfam:Homo sapiens chromosome 4, GRCh38 reference primary assembly.